CCUGACCAGGCCCACCUGUGCACGACUGCAGCGAGGAAGAAAUUAACACAUCCCCUCGGAAGGCUGAUGGGAACCAGGAAGUGUUUGACUUUACUUCCACCCCAAACACACGCUUUUAGUAUAAAAGAAGCCUGAAUUCUAGCUCAGAUAAGGUGGUUCUUUGGGAUACGAAUCCACCGUCUUCUUGGUCUGCUGGCUUUCUGAACAGAGUCGCUAUUCCUUGCCCCAGCAACUCCUCUCUCCAUUUAUUGGCCUGUCCUGCCUUGCUACUCCUGGCUAGCUGGCAGUUGGGGAAUUUGGGGGUAAGGCCCAGCAGCUGCUGCAACCGCUUGUCCUGAGGAUCUUCCCUUCAAAACUCCCCGAAGCUGCACUGACUGCCCCAGAACUUGGCAGUUGGAGCAAGGAAUCAACAUUUGGGAGCGGACAGGCUCCAUACAGUGGGGAACGUUGAAGAAACGUAGGUGGCGUGGGAGGAAGACACCAUGGAGGCAGAAGAGCCAACAUGUAGGAGGACUACGGAUGCGGAGAGCUUUUUGCGGUUUCUUUCCUUUUCAAUUUCUAAAUCCUUAGGUUCUCCAAAAGUCUCACAUUUCUUUUCUUUCUAAUGUUGGGAGAUACAAACAGCUAUGUACCAGAGCAAAACAGAUCAACUUUGCUUGCUACUAACAGAUGUCUGUGUCACUUGUACGUGUCACUUUGGACUCAAGCAGCCUUUCCUGCUGGCGCCUGAACGGUGAGUAGAGAAGCUUCUGCUAUUUAGCAGGGUCAGAGCUCACUAUCAGACCAGGGAAAUGGAAGGGCAGGAGGCUGGAAUGGGAGGCAGAGGCCAGAUCGUGCCACUGAAAGGACUUGACAGGAUUCUUUCACCAAAAAACUGCCUUCCACUAUCUCAAAGGGGUUUGGAAUAAAGAGAUCAGAGUUCUAAGCCUGUAUUACUUUUGGAGAUAAACACAGAUUUUCUAGAAUACUGAAUUAUCAACCUCAUUUACUAGAUGAGAUAGUUAAAAGAAAUCAUGGAUUUUAAAAACCAAUUUAAAAUUAAUUGGCUUGAAACAAAACAAAGUAUUAUCUCAUGCUAUAAAAAGAGAUAAUAGAUUAUUAAUAUAGAUGAAUGAAAAUCUUAAGAAAAAUUUAAAUAUUUACUACUUUAUCAAAAGCAAGUUUGAAACUCCUUAAUUAGUUUACAAAUUCAAUGCAAUCCUAAUAAAAAUUCCAAUAGGAUGGGGGGAUUCAGAGAGAGAGAAAGAGAUAAAAUUUUCAGUCUAUUUGAAAUAAUAAACAUUUGAGAAUACUGACGAAAACUCUUUAAAAGGCACACUAAUUGUGGUAAUUAGGCCUAUUAAUUAGUAAAACAUUACACAGGUGUUAUUCAGUGUGGUACUGGCUUAGGAAUAGACAGCAAAGGAGGAGAUCAAGUUUAUAAAGGAACUGAACAUUUAAUAACCAUCAGCUGGCAAAAUGACUUUGCUAAUAUUCAACAAAUGCUGCUGGGAAAAUUGACUUGCCUUUGGAAAGAAGUAAGCUUGGUUCCUAACUCAUUCCUUACAUUCAGACACAUCAGGGGCUGGCAAACUUUUCCUGUAA